rnacentral:rRNA from 1 species
UACAGAGGUCUCAACCGUUGUUCGGAUUCAUUGGGCGUAAAGGGUGCGUAGGCGGUCGGGUAAGUCGGAUGUGAAAUCUCAGGGCUCAACCCUGAAACUGCAUUCGAUACUGCUUGGCUAGGGUACUGGAGAGGAGACUGGAAUUUACGGUGUAGCGGUGAAAUGCGUAGAUAUCGUAAGGAAGACCAGUGGCGAAGGCGGGUCUCUGGACAGUUCCUGACGCUGAGGCACGAAGGCCAGGGGGAGCAAACGGG